rnacentral:rRNA from 1 species
CCUANGGGCGGCUGCAGUGAGGAAUUUUCCGCAAUGGACGAAAGUCUGACGGAGCGACGCCGUGUGUGUGAUGAAGUCUUUCGGGAUGUAAAACACUGUCGAGGGGGACGAUAAUGACGGUACCCCUGGAGGAAGCCCCGGCUAACUACGUGCCAGCAGCCGCGGUAAUACGUAGGGGGCGAGCGUUGUCCGGAAUUAUUGGGCGUAAAGGCGUGUAGGCUGUUCUGUAAGUUGGAUGUUAAAGGUAUGGGCUCAACUCAUACAUUGCGUUCAAUACUGCAGUUCUAGAGAUUGGUAGAGGAAAACGGAACUUCCGGUGUAGCGGUGAAAUGCGUAGAUAUCGGAAGGAACACCAGUGGCGAAGGCGGUUUUCUGGGCCAAUUCUGACGCUGAGGCGCGAAAGCUAAGGGAGCAAACAGGAUUAGAUACCCCANUANUC